AAAAAAAAAAAAAAAAAAGAAAAGGAAAAGAAAGAGAGAGCAUCUUGAGCUAUUGCCCUGGCUGAAAUGAAGUGAUACAAUCAUAGCUCACUGUAGCCUUGAACUCCUGGCUCCAGGGAUCCUCCUGCCUCUGCCUUCUGCCUUCCAAGUAGCUGGGACUACAGGUAUCAUGUGAUCUUGAGCUUAAACCCCAAAUUUUUCUUCACUUGAUGAUGAGGAUCACAAUAGUACCUAUCUGAUAAAAAGAUUUUUUGAGGAUAACAUGAUUAGAGAAGAAAAAGGAGUUGAAAGAAAGAAAGCCCUAUCUUUUUUUUUUCUUAACUUAACUUUUAUUUUAAGUUCAGGGGUACAUGUGCAGGUUUGUUAUAUAGGUAAACUUAUGUCAUGGGGUAAAGCCUCCAGUUUCUCUUUACUUAGUGGCCAUUGUUCUAUCCAAAUUGGCUUAUCUGUUAACCAUUUUAAAGGUAUAGGUUCUACAGGCUUAACAAUGGCCACCAUCAAAAAUGAUAUUGUGUCUGGAAUUGGUGGGUUCUUGGUCUCACUGACUUCAAGAAUGAAGACGUGGACCCUUGUGGUGAGUGUUACAGUUCUUAAAGGUGGUGUAUCCGGAGUUUGUUCCUUCUUAUGGGUUCGUGGCCUCACUGGCUUCAGGAGUGAAGCUGCAGACCUUCGCAGUAAGUGUUGCAGCUCUUAAGGCAGCAUGUCUGGAGUUGUUCAUUCCUCCCAUCCAGAGUUGUUCAUUCC
rnacentral:lncRNA from 1 species